GGUUGAUCCUGCCAGUAGUCAUAUGCUUGUCUCAAAGAUUAAGCCAUGCAUGUCUAAGUAUAAACUGCUUAUACUGUGAAACUGCGAAUGGCUCAUUAAAUCAGUUAUAGUUUAUUUGAUGGUACUUUCUACUCGGAAUAACCGUAGUAAUUCUAGAGCUAAUACGUGCGUAAAUCCCGACUUCUGGAAGGGACGUAUUUAUUAGAUAAAAGACCGACCGGGCUCUGCCCGACCCGCGGUGAAUCAUGAUAACUUCACGAAUCGCACAGGCUCGUCCUGGCGAUGUUUCAUU
rnacentral:rRNA from 1 species